rnacentral:rRNA from 1 species
GACGAACGCUGGCGGCGUACUUAACACAUGCAAGUCGAACGGAAAGGCCCUGCUUUUGUGGGGUGCUCGAGUGGCGAACGGGUGAGUAACACGUGAGUAACCUGCCCUUGACUUUGGGAUAACUUCAGGAAACUGGGGCUAAUACCGGAUAGGAGCUCCUGCUGCAUGGUGGGGGUUGGAAAGUUUCGGCGGUUGGGGAUGGACUCGCGGCUUAUCAGCUUGUUGGUGGGGUAGUGGCUUACCAAGGCUUUGACGGGUAGCCGGCCUGAGAGGGUGACCGGCCACAUUGGGACUGAGAUACGGCCCAGACUCCUACGGGAGGCAGCAGUGGGGAAUAGUGCACAAUGGGCGGAAGCCGGAUGCAGCAACGCCGCGUGCGGGAUGACGGCCUUCGGGUUGUAAACCGCUUUCGCCUGUGACGAAGCGUGAGUGACGGUAAUGGGUAAAGAAGCACCGGCUAACUACGU